UGGGCGUAAAGAGCUUGUAGGCGGUUUGUCGCGUCUGCUGUGAAAGGCCGGGGCUUAACCCCGUGUAUUGCAGUGGGUACGGGCAGACUAGAGUGCAGUAGGGGAGACUGGAAUUCCUGGUGUAGCGGUGGAAUGCGCAGAUAUCAGGAGGAACACCGAUGGCGAAGGCAGGUCUCUGGGCUGUAACUGACGCUGAGAAGCGAAAGCAUGGGGAGCGAACAGGAUUAGAUACCCUGGUAGUCCAUGCCGUAAACGUUGGGCACUAGGUGUGGGGGACAUUCCACGUUUUCCGCGCCGUAGCUAACGCAUUAAGUGCCCCGCCUGGGGAGUACGGCCGCAAGGCUAAAACUCAAAGAAAUUGACGGGGGCCCGCACAAGCGGCGGAGCAUGCGGAUUAAUUCGAUGCAACGCGAAGAACCUUACCAAGGCUUGACAUAUACUGGACCGCAUCAGAGAUGGUGUUUCCCUUCGGGGCUGGUAUACAGGUGGUGCAUGGUUGUCGUCAGCUCGUGUCGUGAGAAG
rnacentral:rRNA from 1 species